AUAAAUUUGUUUCUUGCGAGCUCGUUGUGUCAUUGCACGAGAAGCCGCGCCGUCUCGCGUUGUCAAAAGAGCUGACGCAAAUCGUUCAUUUUCAAACUUCAACAGCUGAAAAACACCCACUUUUAGCUCUUGGUUUGUUCUAAUGGGUGGAUUGUGUGCAAUCGCUGUAAUAUUUUAUUUUUAUAAGGUCUUAAACAAGAAUAAAUUUGUUUCUUGCGAGCUCGUUGUGUCAUUGCACGAGAAGCCGCGCCGUCUCGCGCUGUCAAAAGAACUGACGCAAAUCGUUCAUUUUCAAACUUCAACAGCUGAAAAACACCCACUUUUAGCUCUUGGUUUGUUCUAAUGGGUGGAUUGUGUGCAAUCGCUGUAAUAUUUUAUUUCUAUAAGGUGUUAAACAAGAAUAAAUUCGUUUCUUGCGAGCUCGUGUCAUUGCACGAGAAGCCGCGCCGUCUCGCGCUGUCGAAAGAGCUGAUGCAAAUCGUUCAUUUUCCAAACUUUAACAGCUGAAAAACACCCACUUUUAGCUCUUGGUUUGUUCUAAUGGGUGGAUUGUGUGCAAUCGCUGGAAUAUUUUAUUUUUAAAAGGUCUUAAACAAGAAUAAAUUCGUUUCUUGCGAGCUCGUUGUGUCACUGCACGAGAAGCCGCGCCGUCUCGCGCUGUCGAAAGAGCUGACGCAAAUCGUUCAUUUUCCACACUUCAACAGCUGAAAAACACCCUCUUUUAGCUCUUGGUUUGUUCUAAUGGGUGGAUUGUGUGCAAUCGCUGUAAUAUUUUAUUUUUAAAAGGUCUUAA
ensembl:lncRNA